rnacentral:miRNA from 1 species
AAUGACCAUAUAGCUUCUUGCUCAUUCACAUGUGUAUGUGUGUGUGUGUAUAUAUAUAUAUAUAUAUAUAUAUAUAUAUAUACACACACACACAUACACAUGUGAAUGAGCAAGAAGCUAUAUG